UCAGGAAUUAGACUGAAAAAAUAAUUUUUUUAUAUAUUUCUUAUAUUCAAUGGAAUAUCAUAGCAUUGUCUCGAUUUCCAAUAAAAAUUUAAAUGGAAGUAAGAACUCAAAUUCGAAGAUUGGUAGCACUGACAAACUUGUUUCGCCGUAUAAUUCUUGCAACGUCUUCAAUUGUCACUCGUCCUUUGUCUUCCAUUAGUAUAAUAUUGAUUCAUAUUUUUGUUGGAAAUAAAAAUGGCCUAUGGUCAUCAAACAAUGCCUAUCCCGCAACCUAUGCAACCGGGACAAGGACUUUUCAUCGCUGCAUGUAUAUUUUCAAUUGUAUUCGUUAGCGAAAUGUUUGAAGCCUUCGGUGGCCAAAUCAGGAGAGGCUGGAGGAGAAUAUGGCGAAGAAGAGAUUAACGCAUUAUCAUGAAGUAUUUACAGGAAGAAAAAAAAAUCAAUGCUAAUUUUAGUAUGUGUAUUUUUCAUUUGAACUAACUGUAUGUUUCAUUUUGAAUUCAUUUGUUAUUUGUUCUUAUUGUUAUUCAUUUAAUAAGCAAGAAAAUGUUUUUCUUUUCAUAUUGAAUGAAAUAAAUACCCUUUCAUAAUAUUUUUACGUUUAAUUUAUCCAAAUGAAAUUCUAUAUUCGAUUCAUAUCGAAUUGAAUUUGGGAGAUUACUAAAUAGAAGAUGGAAUGACAAGAAAUGAAAAUACAUCACAAAUAUUUCUUACAAAAAUAUCCUGAGUAUGAUUUUCCACAAUAGGUGAUUAUUUAAUUUCAUAUUGAAUUUAUAAAAAUUUAUUUUCUCGAUAUAAAAGAAAGAUAUAUGGAGUGUAUGAAGUGACAUAUUAAGGAAAUGAAAAACUGGAGGAAGCGAUAAUGAAGGUUUGUAAACAUUUCAGUUUUUUUUUUAUAAAUUGGCCAUACUCGGGUAUGUAGGUAAAGUGAGUUGCAGUGAUUUUGUUUCAUAAGUUUAGAUUGUCAAGUAUUACCAAAAUAAAUAUUUCAGUGAAAAAGAGUAUUCUUCAUCAUAAUAAUCUAUUUUAUGUCAUUAACAUUCAUCGGAAAGCAUUGUGUCUCGAUAUGCAUAUUUGGUAGAUAUACAUGGUGGCCAAGAGAUUGACGUCAAAAAAGAAAAAACAGGUCCCUCGUAUAAUGGGCUAUUCGAAUCACCCCCAGAAUGAUUUCAAGAGAUUACUCGAAGUGUCACUCGUUCUUAGGUAUCUUACUGGUAAAGGAAUAUAUUCCAAUAAAUCAAAAUGAUUAACAUGCAAACUACUGGACCCAUUGCGGAGGCCCAUUAUACGGCGUUGACGUUUUUUGCAAUUUGUUGUGGUGCUUACUUCACUGGUAUAUUUACUUCCAUACGUAAUGGUAUCAGAAGAUGCUGGAACUUUUUUUGUGGACAUGAUGAGUACGAAGCUGUUCCAGUAUAAUAAAAAGUUGGCAUCAUCAAGAAGCAAACAAAAUUUCGAUGCUUAAUUAGUAUGUGUUUUAUAUUUGCAAUAUAUGUUCGAUUUGUAUUCGUUUCAUACAAUUAAGAUGUGUCCUUUGUUAUCAUUGUGUUAAUUUAUUGAAUGAAUCCUAUGGAGAAAUAGUUGUUCAUUACAUAUUGAAUGAAAUAAAUAGCUAUUUAUUGUG